UACGUAGGAUCCGAGCGUUGUCCGGAUUUACUGGGUGUAAAGGGUGCGCAGGCGGACUGGUAAGUCAGUGGUGAAAUCUCGUCGCUUAACGACGAAACUGCCUUUGAUACUAUCAGUCUUGAAUCCGGUAGAGAUCUGUGGAAUUCCGAGUGUAGCAGUGAAAUGUGUAGAUAUUCAGAAGAACACCAGUGGCGAAGGCAGCAGAUUGGGCCGGUAUUGACGCUCAGGCACGAAAGCAUGGGGAUCAAACAGG
rnacentral:rRNA from 1 species